rnacentral:tRNA from 1 species
ACCUGGCUGGCUCAGCUGAUAGAGCGUGUGACUUUUGAUCUCAGGGUUGUGAGUUCGAGCCCCAUGUUGGGUG